AAUAAAAUAAUAACAAUGGCGGGAGUGGCAAUACAGUGGAAGCAUAUUGAACGAUGGUCCAUUUGUCCAUAUGUCACGAAAGCAUUAUCUUCAACAUCCGUCUCCUCCUCCUACUCCUCCACCAGCGCCACCACCAUCACCACCACAGCCUUCCUACAUGCUCUCUCCUCUCCUUUCCUAACUCUAAUUUCCACUUCAAUGGCCACCCAUAACCACCUAAACCAUACCCUCAAUGGCGAACACUGGGACUCCACCACACCCAUUACCAAAAAACCCAAACUUUCUUCCCCUUUCCCCACCUCCAUUAUUACACGCUCACAAAUCCAAUUUGAAUUUUCCCAUCACGACCUCUCCGUCGCUCGCAUCAACAACGGAAGCUUCGGAAGCUGUCCUCAAUCUGUUCUCUCCGCCCAGCAGCACUGGCAGAUCCAGUUCCUCCGCCAGCCUGACCACUUCUACUUCAACCAGCUCAAGCCUGGUAUCCUCCACUCCCGAUCCAUUCUCAAAUCCUUAAUUAAUGCUGACCACGUUGAUGAGGUCUCCCUCGUCGACAACGCCACCACCGCUGCCGCUAUCGUCUUGCAGAAAUCCGCUUGGUCCUUCUCCGAAGGUAGAUUCAGCAAAGGGGAUGUUGCUGUAAUGCUUCAUUAUGCGUACGGAGCUGUGAAGAAGUCCGUUGAAGCUUACAUCACGCGUGCUGGUGGACAUAUAAUCGAAGUUCAGUUGCCGUUUCCGGUGAAAUCGAAUGAGGAAAUCAUUACCGAAUUCCGGAAGGCUCUGGAUAAAGGGAAAGAGAACGGGAAGAAAGUGAGACUCGCUGUGAUUGAUCAUGUUACUUCCAUGCCUAGCGUACUGAUUCCUGUAAAAGAAUUGGUUAAGCUUUGCAGAGAGGAAGGUGUCGACCAGAUUUUUGUUGAUGCAGCUCAUGGAAUUGGAUGUGUUGAUGUUGACAUGAAAGAAAUUGGGGCUGAUUUCUAUACCAGUAAUUUGCAUAAGUGGUUUUUUUCCCCGCCUUCUGUUGCGUUUUUGUAUUCAAGAAAGUCGAAAGAUAAAGGCAACGAUGAUUUGCAUCACCCUGUGGUUUCCCACGAGUAUGGAAAUGGGUUGGCUGUUGAGAGUGCUUGGAUUGGAACUAGAGACUACAGUGCUCAAUUAGUAGUUCCUUCAGUUUUCGAAUUUAUCAAUAGAUUUCCAGGUGGGAUUGAAGGAAUCAAGAAGAAGAAUCAUGAGUCCGUUGUGGAGAUGGGGAAGAUGUUGGUUAAGGCAUGGGGGACUCAUCUUGGGUGCCCGCCAGAGAUGUGUGGGAGCAUGAUCAUGGUUGGAUUACCAGUUGCUUUGGGGAUUUCCAGUGAUUCAGAUGCUUUGAAGUUGAGAACUCAUUUGAGGAACAGCUUUGGGGUUGAAGUUCCAAUAUAUUUUAGGCCUCCAAAAGAUGGAGAGAUUGAUCCUAUUACUGGGUAUGCUCGGAUUUCUCAUCAAGUGUACAACAAAGUUGAGGAUUACCACAAAUUUAGGGAUGCCAUCAACAAAAUUGUUAGUGAUGGCAUCACUUGUGCAUGUCUCCCUAAUUGAAGAGGCACCCUUGUCUCACUAACGUUGAUUAUUCAUGGGGUUCCAUUUAAAUGGUCCAGUGAGAACAGAAAAAGAAUCACAUAAGGCCUAAUUAUAGUGAGUUAGAUGAGGCAUACUAGAAGUUUUCCAAUGAAUAACAGCCAUUGUACUUGGCCAGUGGUCAUGGUUUCGGUACCAUGAAUCCCCAACCUCCCUCCCCAAAAAACGUGGAUGAGUGCACAAAGCUGCAGCAUUUGUUUGUUGUGAACUCAUCAAAUCAGUUGUCAUCAUAAAAGAUCUCUGUAAAUAAAUGUUUUGAUGACAAUUUAGCAUUUGUAUGAUUUAAAUAUAGACUGGACAAUCGUUCAUAAAUAUGAGUUUGCAUUUAUGUCCUAUUGACCAAGGUUGAGGAUCUAAACCAAGUUGUAUCUUUGAUUGCUUGGGGUUAAAAUCAACUUCCUUGGGUGAAAUUAAAACUCCUGAUUCACAUCAAUGAUUUUUGAGCU